AGGUCCCGCCUGCCCAGUGACCCAGUUUAACGGCCGCGGUACCCUAACCGCGCGAAGGUAGCAUAAUCACUUGUUCUUUAAAUGAGGACUUGUAUCAAUGGCAUCACGAGGGCUUUACUGUCUCCUCUUUCUAAUCAGUGAAACUGAUCUUCCCGUGAAGAAGCGGGAAUAAUUUUAUAAGACGAGAAGACCCCAUGGAGCUUUAAGCUAGCUGCACAUCUAUUUUCUAUAUCCUCUAAUUAAACAGAACAAUGCCUGCUUAGCUUUAGGUUGGGGUGACCGCGGAGUAUAACAUAACCUCCACGAUGCACAAGACUUCUCUUAUCUACGAAUUACAGUUCUAAGAAUUAGCAUUCUAACAUAAAAUGAUCCGAUAAUCGAUCAACGGACCAAGUUACCCUGGGGAUAACAGCGCAAUCCAUUUCAAGAGCCCCUAUCGACAAAUGGGUUUACGACCUCGAUGUUGGAUCAGGAUAUCCUAGUGGUGCAGCAGCUACUGAAGGUUCGUUUGUUCAACGAUUAAAAUCCU
rnacentral:rRNA from 1 species